rnacentral:misc_RNA from 1 species
GAGCAAAUGAAAGUGCAAGUAACCCCAACUCGAAGCCUAAAGAUAAGUGGAGAACGUCCCCUCACUGACAGCAACAAAUGGAGCCGUUUCCGCAAGGAGAUUCCUAUUGAUUCAAAUUAUGAUCAUAAUGAAAUCGGUGCCAAGUUUGAAAAAGGUUUACUUUUUAUCAGACACCCUAAAAUAAUUGUUCCUGAUAAUAAUGAGCCGCAGGAGAUGAUAAAACCAUCAAUGGAACCUCCAAAACCACCACCUACAGAGGCCCCAAAGCCUCCAAAGCCACCGCAGGAAAAGGCACAGCCACCUGCAGAACCUCCAAAGCUAAAAAAGCAGCCCUCUAACGUACAAAAGCCUAAAAAACAAACAGCACCUGCAGAAACAUCUAAGCCGGAGACGAAAAUAGAACCUUCAAAGCCUGAAAAGCCCAUAAAUACUGAACCUCAGGCUGCAGGUACUCCAAAUAUUGGCAUGGAUAAACAAAGUAGUGGUAAAGCUGAUGGGGUAGGAAAUGGGAAUAGCGUUUCGCAGCAGAUGAUUGAGAAGGAGAAAGUUACAAGCAAACACGAGCAGAAAGAUAAGAGCAAUGGGAUUGCUGAUGCAGGAAGGGAUAUGACAACAACUAGCACAAGCACAAAACAAGAAAAGCUUGCCGAUUAUGUUCAGGAUAAGACAGAUAAAAA